AAAGAGUGAGGACUCAGUGGCAUACAGCAGUUUCGUCAUCAAAAAUAAGCCAAAAUCAUCUGCACCAGUUCCUGAAAACGACGUGACCUACAGCUCUGUACAAAAAUCUCCUACCAAUAAAACUGUCUCUCCGGCCGGUAGAGAUGACGGGGUGAUCUACAGCUCUGUGGUUUGCAAGUAAGAGGUGAGAGACUGUCAGACUGAAGGACAACAUAUGGUACAACAGCUGUCACGUGAAGCAAUUGAUGUCAUUAAACAACUGAGUUUAUUUCCACAAAUUGAGCACAAACCCAACAGAUCCCACCAGUCAUGGAACUUCAGGGACCCUUUCUGAUGCCCACAAUUUUUAAUAGGGUCCCCCUGAUGCCUACAAUUUAUGUACAAUAUCUUGUAAAUCAUUACUGGAUGGGGUGAAAUGAUGGGGUAACACUGUUAAAGCACUAUUUGGAACAGUGAAUUUCAAAUUAUAUAACCUGCAGUGGGGUAAAUCACUCCAGAGAGCAUGCUGAGAAGAGUUUAAUCAGGGUUUGCUUGUUUGUUAACAUUUGUUAAAGUUAACCCUUAGAACUCCAUUAAUGCAAAUUGUGUCAAAAAUCUCUUUUAUAUAUGUUUAUACAGCUAAAUUACGUCAACGCACCAACAUGAUUCGUAUACUGUGACAAACAGGAGACCCAAUUGUUUUAAAAAUAGCACUGACCUCGCUCUGAACUGAACUGUUUUUGAGAAAUCUAGAGGUGUGAUUAUUAAGAAAAAUAAAUCUGCCUGGUGCUGCUCAUGUAUUAUAUCACAGAAAUAAGCCAUGUAAUUAACUCAUCAUCAAAAUCCUUAA